AUGCUUGCCGGCAGUAUGAAUAACGAUAAUGAUAAUGUUAUUGACUUGAUAUCGGAUAGUGGUGAUGAUUUUGAUUCUGACUCUGACGAUCCAACUUCUACAAAUGUCACAUCUGGCGAGAAUGGCGGAGGGCAAUCAGUCUGCUUUCAGGACGAAGAUUUGUUGAGGAGCACUCCCUCUUCUUCCAGGUCUAAUAUAAAUGAUAAUGGUCAGUACAGAACUCUGCCACCUUCCUUCGCAAAUGAUAUUGAUAUUGAGAAAGCCCGUUAUACACUAGGUUCGGGGGACAGAACUUAUCCACACUCAAAUUCGGGGCCAAGACACGAUUUUGGAAGGGCCUGUCUCUCGUCCAGUAGACUUGAUAUCGCAGUGAGGGAGCGCAAUGGUUUGGCAGUGGAUGCAAAUGGCAAUAACAAGAGGAUUCUUCCUUCAUCUUUUUCCAGUGGAAGCACGUCAAAAUCUACACAUCCAAGUGUUGCAAGUGAGAGCCAUAAACUCCCAGCACGUUUUACCAAUGGAAAUUCACAAAGGUUGGAUGAUAAUAGUAUGGGAACAAAUGAUGCCAAUGGCACUGGGCAACCUUCAUCUUCAAGGUUCUCAAUCCGAAGCUACUCUGUGAGUAAUGCCCAGAAGGAUACCAUGGAAAAUGACGAUGAUGAUGUCUAUGUAUAUGAUAGUCCUAGUUCACAUAGGAUGCUGCCUGCAUCUUUUGGAGGCCAUAACUCUGCCAGUAACAAUGAACUUGCUAAUGUUAAUGACAUGCAAGCUCGUCCAAACCUAGAAAAUAGGUUUAUGGAUCCUGACGAGAGCGCAGUAUAUCAAGAGGCUCUUCAGAACAUUAGUCUUGAUAAAAGGGAAGAUGAUCUCGAUGAGGGUGUCUUAUCAGUAUCUCUGCUUAAGCACCAGAAAAUGGCAUUAGCUUGGAUGGUCUCGAAGGAGAAUAGUUCACAUUGUGCAGGAGGAAUUCUUGCAGAUGAUCAGGGUCUUGGGAAGACUGUGUCUACAAUUGCCCUUAUACUAAAACAGAAGAGUCAGCAGUCUAAGUUCAUGUGUGCUGAUUCAGAUCCUUUGAAAUCUGAAGCGCUAAACCUUGAUGAAGACGAUGAGGCAGUGACUGUUGUUGAUAAGGCGAAACAGUCUAUGAACGAUGAACCCAAGAAGGAUUUAGACGCUAGUUUAUCAACAGCAGCUAGUACUAGUGAUGUUAAACCAUCUAGUAGUCAUAUGGAUAUUGUUCCAAAUAGAAUUGUUGAAAGCAAAGUUGAAUGCAAGAAGACUAAAACAGGCACAUCAUCUGCAUCAUCGACCAUGCGAUCCAUGACGAGGCCAGCUGCAGGUACUUUAGUAGUAUGCCCUGCUAGUGUUCUUAAGCAGUGGGCUAAUGAAUUGAAUGACAAGGUUAGUCAAAGUGCUAGGUUAUCUGUUUUAGUCUACCAUGGUGGUGCAAGGACCAAAGAUCCAAGUGAGCUGGCAAAAUAUGAUGUCGUUGUCACGACAUACACAAUUGUGGCGAAUGAAGUGCCUAAACAGAAUGCUGAUGAUGACCAAGAUCAAAAGAAUGGGGAAGAAUCUUCUGUUGGUAAUAAAAGAAAACCACCAAGCAAAUCUAAGAAAAGGAAGAAGAAACUUAAGGAUUCAGAUAUUGACCUUGACAGUGGUCCAGUUGCCCGGGUACGGUGGUUUCGGGUGGUUCUUGAUGAAGCUCAGACGAUAAAAAAUUUCCGAACUCAAGUGGCUAAAGGCUGUUGUGGACUAAGAGCAAAAAGGAGAUGGUGCUUAUCAGGAACACCUAUACAAAAUUCAAUCGAUGAGCUGUACAGCUAUUUCCGUUUCUUGAAAUAUGAUCCAUAUUCUACAUAUAGCUCAUUUUGUACAAUGAUAAAGCACCCAAUUGCUAGAAAUGCAGUCCAUGGGUAUAAGAAACUACAAACUGUGUUGAGGAUAGUUCUCCUGCGUCGCACAAAAGAAACUACGAUAAAUGGAGAACCGAUCAUAAACUUACCUCCAAAGACAAUUAAGUUGCAAAAGGUGGAUUUCACAAAGGAGGAGCGAGCUUUUUAUUUGACACUGGAAGAACGUUCUCGGCAACAGUUCAAGGAAUAUGCUGCUGCCGGAACAGUCAAACAAAACUAUGCCAAUAUCCUUUUAUUGUUGUUGCGCCUUAGGCAGGCUUGUGAUCAUCCUCUUCUUGUGAAGGGGCAUCAGUCAGUAUUUAAAGGCGAUGGUUCUAUAGAGAUGGCAAAACAACUUUCCAAGGAAAGGGUAAUAGAUUUGCUUGCAAGGCUGGAAGUGUCAGCGCUUUGUGCUGUAUGCCGUGACACACCUGAGGAUGCUGUUGUGGCGAUGUGUGGUCAUAUUUUCUGCUAUCAGUGUAUAUACGAGCGGAUAACAACUGAUGAAAACAUGUGCCCCGUCCCUAAUUGCAGAAACACGUUAAGUACUGAAUCAGUAUUUUCAUCAGGGACAUUAAAGAUUUGUAUCUCCGGCAAGACCAGUACUCAUGCGAUAGCGAGUUCAUCAGCAGACGAUGAGCUAUCUUCUAUCAGUCAAAGCAGUUACAUCUCCUCGAAGAUACAAGCAACCGUCGAUAUACUGAAUUCUAUCAUUAACAUGCAUGCCCUUACAGACAGUGAUACCAUUGAAUCAAAUCCAAACCGAGUAUCCCCUGUGAAAGCCAUUGUCUUCUCGCAGUGGACUGGCAUGCUGGAUUUGCUGGAGUUUUCACUGAACAGCAAUCUUAUACAGUACAGGAGACUAGACGGAACAAUGUCCCUCAAUUCAAGAGAUAAAGCCGUGAAGGAUUUUAACAUCGACCCAGAGGUUAGAGUUAUGAUUAUGUCAUUGAAAGCGGGUAAUCUUGGUCUGAACAUGGUUGCUGCUUGCCAUGUAAUACUCCUUGAUCUUUGGUGGAAUCCUUAUGCUGAGGACCAGGCAAUUGAUAGAGCACACAGAAUUGGUCAGACUCGUCCUGUCACUGUCUCUCGUCUAACCAUUACAGAUACGGUGGAAGAUCGUAUUUUAUCUCUGCAGGAGGAAAAGAGAGCGAUGGUCAACUCUGCUUUCGGUGAAGACAAAUCCAGUGCCCACGCUACUCGGCUCACUGUAGAUGAUCUGAGGUAUCUGUUUAGGAUAUGA
rnacentral:rRNA from 1 species